rnacentral:lncRNA from 1 species
UUCCUUUAAAGCCUCCCCCUAUUGGAUUUUCCCAUAUUCUGCCUUCCCUUCCCUUCCUUCAACGCGGUGUCGCCGCCCUUGUUACGUAAUUUAUUCAACAACUCCACCAGCUUCAUCCUAUAUAUAGAGAUACACGCCCACCCGAAUUAACCUCUCAUCGAAUUUCGACAUUUACAUUAUUUCGAGUCAUUUUCUGACCUUUUUUUGUGGGAAAAAUGAGUAACUACAACCAGAAUCAGCCCCAGGGUAUCUGUGCAUCUAUUUUUUUUUUUAGUAAUGUUUUCUUGAAAAAGGGUUUAUAAUUAUGGUUUUUGACUGUUUGAAUUUGUGGGUUUUUACCGCAGUAUAUCCUCCGCCAGGUACUGCAGAGCCACAGGGUGUUCCAUACAUGGCUCCACCACCGCCGGCCGGUUACCCCAUGAAAGAUGGUCAUGGCCAACCACCAAUUGAUCCGGCACCGGCAGAAACUCAGUCGAGAGGUGAUGGCUUCUGGAAGGGAUGGUGAGUUAUCUCAGAUGUCUAUUAGGCUGUAUGGAAACGGAGACAGAAAUGGAAAACCAAACACAACAAGUGGAAAUAAUGAUCAUUUUAUUUUAUUAAUAUUUAAUUUUUGAAAAGGAUAAUUCACAUUCAAAGCAAUUUUCUUUAUUCCGGACACAUGCCUAAUAUCCAAACUCUUCAUAAGUUUCAAGAAAAUUUCAGACUUCGAGAAAUUAUUUUUUUAUUUUUAUUUUUUAAAUAGGAUUCAUAAUUCAAAAUCAACCUUUAAUUUGAAUCUUGGACUUACGUUGAACUUUGACUAAGAAUACACUGAUAGUUUCUAAAAAAUUUCCAUUUAAUUGGAAUUUCGUCAAUGAUAUUAUGAAAAAGAACCAUGCUUCUCUGUCAGAAAAUACAUGACAGAAGGGCUGACCUACACACAUUUGGGGGUAAAAUCACUUCUUCCUCCCAAUUGUUUAUUCAUACAGGCCCUGACGGUUGUGAAAGGGUGUCAAGCCCUUUGUCAUCCUUUUUUUGGGCCGAUGAGCAUUUUCCUAUGAAAAAAUAAAUUAAAUGAUAUAAUAUUCAAAUAAUCAGAGUGUACUUUUAAAAAUGUAAUUAUAAUAAUUAAGGAUUAAACCAUAGUGUUUGAUUCACCAAAUAAUCAUUACAUUAUAUACUCUUAAUAUCAUAUAUGUAUGGCAGCUCUAAUUUUAUUUUUAACAUUUUUGGAAUGUAUACAGCUAACUUAAUUAUAAGAAAUUCCCUCUUGACGGUGUUAAAUAUAUUAUAUCUGAAUCUUAGAUUUGAAAAUAUAUAGAAUUCGUCCGUAAAAACAUAUAAGAAAGCAAAAAAGAAAAUUAAAAAAUAGAACCAAUUAAAUAGAAAUAAUGAGUUCCAAUACAAAUUCAAUGGAGUACAUUAUAUAAUGUAAUUUAGAUGGAUAUUUUAUCGAGUUAAAAUAUUAUAUUUCCAAUUAUGUGAUUUUUAUAUCUGACCUAUUUUGAAAUCGAAAUACCUAACAUAAUUAAUAGAUAUUUCUUCUGACAAUGAAUCGAUAGUAUAUAUUUCUAUUCCUUUUUGACAAUAAUAUAUAACUAUGUAAAUCCUGGAUGUGAAAAUAUGCGCAAUUCGUCCGUGGAAGUUAUAAAAAAACAAAAAGAAUAUGCUAGGUUUAUGCAAUAAAAUAAGAACCGAUGAGAUAGAAAUACUUAGUUUGAAUUUACUAUUUCGAUAGUAUAGAUGUGAUUUUCUAUUUCCAGUUUUGAGCCAGUGAUUGAUGAAAUUUCCUGAAAACUUGUUUACAGUUGCGCUGCCUUGUGUUGCUGCUGUGUGUUGGACGCAUGUUUCUGAGAAGUGUGACUCAUUGUCUAGUUGCCCUCUAUGAAAAGGCAGCACAAAAAUUGUUUAAUCCGAUUUUUUUUUUUUUAUUUACAUAUCAGUGAUUUGUUUCCUGGAAUAAGCACUUUCUGACUUUCUUCUCUUGUUGAUUUUAUUUUAUUUUUAUUUUUAUUUUUUGGUUGUCGUCAUAAUGUCUAAAAUCUAGUAACAUUGCCUUUUAUUUUCAUUUAAUGUAAAUGGUGCAAGCAUACUUUGCUUGGUUCAGUUCUCAUGUAAAUUUACGUUCCGUGAUAAUUUUGUUUUUCUUUUGUGAAUACUAGUAUGUGUGAACGUGGGGUUAGCAAUGUUAAAAAAUGGAUAUGAG